rnacentral:rRNA from 1 species
GAUCAAGUGUCUUAAGGGCAAUUGGUGGAUGCCUUGGCAUGCACAGGCGAUGAAGGACGUGAUACGCUGCGAUAAGCUACGGGGAGGUGCGAAUACCCUUUGAUCCGUAGAUUUCCGAAUGGGGAAACCCACCUAAGGUGCUUGGAAAAUCAGAGCAGCCAGUGGUCGAAAGGCCAACUUGCUGCUGUGGUUUCCAAGUAUCUGUUAUAGGUAACUUAUCCUGAAUACAUAGGGAUAAAGUGGCGAACGCGGGGAACUGAAACAUCUAAGUACCCGUAGGAAAGGACAUCAACCGAGACUCCGGCAGUAGUGGCGAGCGAACCCGGACCAGGCCAGUGGCGAUGAUGAGACAAGCGGAACCUUCUGGAAAGUAGGGCCAUAGUGGGUGACAGCCCCGUACGCGUAAUGCAAAUCAUCGUCCUCGAGUAAGGCGGGACACGUGAAAUCCUGUCUGAAAUUGGGGGGACCACCCUCCAAGCCUAAGUACUCGUGCAUGACCGAUAGCGAACUAGUACCGUGAGGGAAAGGUGAAAAGCACCCCGACAAGGGGAGUGAAAGAGUACCUGAAACCGAUUGCCUACAAACAGUGGGAGUCCAAGGUUCGUCCUGGGUGACCACGUACCUUUUGUAUAAUGGGUCAGCGACUUAGUGUGACGAGCAAGCUUAAACCGCUAGGUGUAGGCGCAGCGAAAGCGAGUCUGAACAGGGCGUUCAGUUCGUCGCAUUAGACCCGAAACCGAGUGAUCUAGCCAUGAGCAGGUUGAAGGUAAGGUAACACUUACUGGAGGACCGAACCCAUAACUGUUGCAAUAGUUCGGGAUGACUUGUGGCUAGGGGUGAAAGGCCAAUCAAACUCGGAAAUAGCUGGUUCUCCGCGAAAUCUAUUUAGGUAGAGCGUCGACCGAAUACCCCAGGGGGUAGAGCACUGGAUGGGCUAGGGGUCCUCACCGGAUUACCAAACCUAACCAAACUCCGAAUACCUGGGAGUACUAGUCGGCAGACACACGGCGGGUGCUAACGUCCGUCGUGAAAAGGGAAACAACCCUGACCUACAGCUAAGGUCCCCAAGUUAUGGCUAAGUGGGAAAGGAUGUGAGGAUCCCAAAACAACCAGGAUGUUGGCUUAGAAGCAGCCAUCAUUUAAAGAAAGCGUAACAGCUCACUGGUCUAAAUAAGGGUCUUUGCGCCGAAAAUGUAACGGGGCUCAAGCCAUACACCGAAGCUUAGGGUUCGUGAGCAAUCACGAGCGGUAGCGGAGCGUUCUGUAAGCUGAUGAAGCCAUACCCGUGAGGGGUGGUGGAGGUAUCAGAAGUGCGAAUGCUGACAUGAGUAACGUAAGGGGAGUGAGAGACUCCCCCGCCGAAAGUCCAAGGGUUCCUGCUUAAAGCUAAUCUGAGCAGGGUUAGCCGGCCCCUAAGUCGAGGCAGAAAUGCGUAGACGAUGGGAACCACGUUAAUAUUCGUGGGCCUGGAGGAAGUGACGGAUCAUUGAGGUAGUCCAAUCUUAUCGGAUUGAACGGGCUGCUGCGUGGUUCCAGGAAAUAGCUCCUCCUUAUAGACCGUACCCGAAACCGACACUGGUGGACUGGUAGAGUAUACCAAGGCGCUUGAGAGAACUAUGCUGAAGGAACUCGGCAAAUUGCACGCGUAACUUCGGAAGAAGCGUGACCCUUUUCCACGCAAGUGGAGGAGGGUGGCACAGACCAGGGGGUAGCGACUGUUUAUCAAAAACACAGGGCUCUGCGAAGUCGCAAGACGACGUAUAGGGUCUGACGCCUGCCCGGUGCUGGAAGGUUAAGAGGAGGGGUGCAAGCUCUGAAUCGAAGCCCCAGUAAACGGCGGCCGUAACUAUAACGGUCCUAAGGUAGCGAAAUUCCUUGUCGGGUAAGUUCCGACCUGCACGAAUGGCGUAACGACUUCCCCGCUGUCUCCAGCAUAGACUCAGUGAAAUUGAAUUCCCCGUGAAGAUGCGGGGUUCCUGCGGUUAGACGGAAAGACCCCGUGCACCUUUACUAUAGCUUUACAUUGGCAUUCGUAGUGGCAUGUGUAGGAUAGGUGGUAGGCUUUGAAACCUGGGCGCCAGCUCAGGUGGAGCCACCCUUGAAAUACCACCCUUAUCACUAUGGAUGUCUAACCGCGGCCCGUCAUCCGGGUCCGGGACAAUGUAUGGUGGGUAGUUUGACUGGGGCGGUCGCCUCCUAAAGAGUAACGGAGGCGCGCGAUGGUGGGCUCAGAACGGUCGGAAAUCGUUCGCUGAGUGCAAUGGCAUAAGCCUGCCUGACUGCGAGACUGACAAGUCGAGCAGAGACGAAAGUCGGUCAUAGUGAUCCGGUGGUCCCGCGUGGAAGGGCCAUCGCUCAACGGAUAAAAGGUACGCCGGGGAUAACAGGCUGAUGACCCCCAAGAGUCCAUAUCGACGGGGUUGUUUGGCACCUCGAUGUCGACUCAUCGCAUCCUGGGGCUGGAGCAGGUCCCAAGGGUAUGGCUGUUCGCCAUUUAAAGCGGUACGUGAGUUGGGUUCAGAACGUCGUGAGACAGUUCGGUCCCUAUCUGCCGUGGGUGUAGGAAUAUUGAAAGGAUCUGUCCCUAGUACGAGAGGACCGGGAUGGACGGAUCUCUGGUGGACCUGUUGUGGCGCCAGCCGCAUAGCAGGGUAGCUAUAUCCGGACGGGAUAACCGCUGAAGGCAUCUAAGCGGGAAACCCACCUUAAAACGAGUAUUCCCUGAGAACCGUGGAAGACGACCACGUUGAUAGGCCGGGUGUGGAAGAGCGGCAACGCUUGAAGCUUACCGGUACUAAUAGUUCGAUCGGCUUGAUCGUUCUCAUU